UUAAAUGGCCGCGGUAUCCUAACCGUGCGAAGGUAGCAUAAUCACUUGUCUACUAAAUAUAGACCUGUAUGAAUGGCAUCACGAGGGCUGCACUGUCUCCCCCAUUUAAUCAGUAAAACUGAUCUUCCCGUGAAGAAGCGGGAAUUUAAUUAUAAGACGAGAAGACCCCAUGGAGCUUCAAACUAAGAGACAACUGCCAAAUUCAAUACCAUCAAAUACUGCACCCAUGACUCAAAGUUUUCGGUUGGGGCGACCGCGGAGCACAACAAAACCUCCUCGAUGAAAGAAUAUGAAAUUCUCACCCUAGAGCCACACCACAAAGGACCACUAAUGUGACAUCCAUUGACCCAAAUAUUUGAUCAACGAACCUAGUUACCCUGGGGAUAACAGCGCAAUCCAUUUCUAGAGCCCAUAUCGACAAAUGGGUUUACGACCUCGA
rnacentral:rRNA from 1 species